rnacentral:lncRNA from 1 species
CAGUGUGUUUCUGAAGAGGACAGAGUAACAGCAGAACGAGAAACUCCACGUGAGCCGACAGCUGUAACAGGAGACUGUGCCGCUCCGAUCUGAUCGUUCCCUAAUUCAGAAACUCGGCUGUUAGUGAAGCGAGAGCCGCUGAAGUGCAUUGUGGGAGUGUAAAGACCGCGUGACAAACUGACCAACGGGAUGCCAGGAAUGAGUGCGCAGGCAACCAACACGCAUUCCAAUCUAAAUGGCGAGAAGCAGCACAGCAGUCCUCAGUCCGAGGACGAGCCCACGACCCCGAAAGUCCGUCCCAACCCCAAGUACCAGCUCUACCUGGGCUCCAACGGCACCAGCGGCUCCAACGGGACCCUGCUGAGGGUCAGUCCUGUGAUCCGGGGGUCCAUGGAGUCGCUGUCGUCCCGGGACGGGGACAGCAUGUCCGACAGAACAGGUGGCUUUGAAAGUCCUCCCCGAGUUUUCAACAGUCCGUAUUCGACGCUCUCGCUGGACUACAAUCCCUUCAACAGAAUGUCUGACUUCAAGACACAGGAAGUGAUGUCACCCACCGUCUCUGAGAUGAACCUGUUCGGUCUGAACAGAAGCGUGAGUCCCGUUAACAGUCCGGCUCUGAACCAGCGCACACGAGUCCCUGGAUACGACAGUCUGACCCGCAGACGAGACGUGAGUCUAGGCUGCCUCAUUAACGCACAGCUAAAAUUCGAAUGCAACGUUUUUGCAUUCGAAUGUGGAUUUUUAUUUUAAAUUCGACGAAUAUUCCAAAUAUGAUUUUUUUUGACAGCCCUAAUUAAUAACAUCACAAAUGUUGUUAGUUGAAAUAAAAUAAGUUAACUGAAAUACAAAAACUUAAACGUGUUUUAUUUCACUUCAACUAGAGCUAAAACUGAAAUAAAAAUAGACAUACUUUAAGAAAACAAUAGACGUACUUUAAAAAAAACGAACAAAAAUUACAAACACGCAACAAAAUAAAUAAAACUAACUAAAGAAAAAAUGAAAACAGAAAAUAUAAAAAUAAAAGCUAUGAAAAUAAGAAAAUUCUAAUAUUAAUAAAAACUAUAAUAAUAUCUCAAUGAAACUAGAAUAACAGGAACUAAUGGC